rnacentral:rRNA from 1 species
AUUGAACGCUAGCGGGAGGCCUUACACAUGCAAGUCGAACGGAGUGGCGAACGGGUGAGUAAUGUAUCGGAACGUGCCCAGUAGCGGGGGAUAACUAUGAGAAAGCGUAGCUAAUACUGCAUACUAUUGGAGCGGCCGAUACCGGUAUAGCUAGUUGGUGGAGGAACGGCUCACCAAGGCGACGGUCCGUAGCUGGUUUGAGAGGACGACCAGCCACACUGGGACUGAGACACGGCCCAGACUCCGACGUGAGGCAGCAGGGGGGAAUUUUGGACAAUGGGGGAAACCCUGAUCCAGCCAUCCCGCGUGUGCGAUGAAGGCCUUCGGGUUGUAAAGCACUUUUGGCAGGAAGGCGGUACCUGCAGAAUAAGCACCGGCUAACUACGUGCCAGCAGCCGCGGUAAUAC